GGGGGUGUUCCGGAUUCGACCUUUUGUUGGCUCGUCUGGCUGCAUGUAGAGGAUGAUAGUUGGCCUCUUUAAACCUCUAUCAAAAAAACAAAUGGCACACACGAAGAAAUGCCUCUAGCAGCAUAGUCUGUUACGUCUCCCCUAUCAAUACUCGCUAGAUAGGACGAGGCGACGACUAGCGAGCAUAGCCUGGGUGGCUGUCUCCUGCGCCCAAGCCGUACUUCUUCAGAGGGCUGGCUAAUCCAAGCAGCGCGGUUUCGUCGCGGCUGGACCGGCGAGAUCAAAAACGAGAACAAACAUGUAGACGCCUUUCGUAAAAGCUCAAGGGACGCGGGUUCGACUCCCGCCACCUCCACCA
rnacentral:tmRNA from 1 species